rnacentral:rRNA from 1 species
CAAAAGCUGGGGAUCGCAAGACCUGGCGCUUGAUGAGGGGCCCGCGUCUGAUUAGCUAGUUGGUGGGGUAAUGGCUCACCAAGGCGACGAUCAGUAUCCGGCCUGAGAGGGCGGACGGACACACUGGGACUGAGACACGGCCCAGACUCCGUACGGGAGGCAGCAGUGGGGAAUUGUUCGCAAUGGGCGCAAGCCUGACGACGCAACGCCGCGUGGAGGAUGAAGGUCUUCGGAUUGUAAACUCCUGUUGCCCGGGACGAAUAGCUUCGACCUAACACGUCGGAGUAUGACGGUACCGGGUGAGGAAGCCC